GUUAACACUAAGCAGCGCGUUGUGUGCACGGAGGUGUGCAAAAUGAGUGUCGAAGGGAAAGUGGCUCUGGUCACCGGCGGAGCACAGGGCAUCGGAAAAGCCGUAGCUGAAGCCCUCCUGAAAAAUGGGGCAAAGGUAGCACUGGUAGACAUGAAUCAGUCUGUGGGCGAGGUCUGUAAACGAGAACUAGACGGACUGUAUGGAGAGGAUAACUGUAUUUUUAUCCAGUGUGACGUGACGGACGCGGGGAAACUAAAAGAAACCUUCCAAAGCACAGUCAAGAAGUUUGGUCGGUUGGAUAUUGUCAUCAAUAAUGCUGGAAUCAACAAUGAGAAGAACUGGGAAAAGACCAUUGAAGUAAAUUUGACAUCUGUUAUAAAGGGGACAUAUUUAGCCCUGGAACAUAUGAGUAAAGAAUAUGGAAAGGCAGGAGGUGUUAUCAUCAAUGUCUCAUCGAUGGCAGCAUUUCUCCAUUCUCCUCACCAGCCAGUGUACACAGCAACGAAGUACGGGGUGAUUGGAUUUUCCCGAGCUUUGGCCGCUGACCGUGUUUGGACACGUUUUGUUGUCAGCAGGACGCAUCUGAACAGGGCAAUUAUGGAGUGAGGAUCAACACACUGUGCCCAGCCUUUGUGGACACCCAGCUCCUACGCACUGUAGAGCAUGAGGAAACAAUGGGCAAGUUUGUCAAGUACAAAGAUGAGUUCAAGGAAAGGAUGGACAAGUAUGGCAUUCUUAAACCAUCACUGAUUGCAGAGGGAAUGCUGCACAUCAUAACAGAUGAAAGCCUGAAUGGGGCUGUGAUGAAGAUCACCUGCUCUAAAGGGAUUCACUUCCACACCUAUGAGCCUCUUUCAGCUUGAGAGCCAUGCCUUCAUCAAGCCAUUUCUGGUUAUCUAUUUCUCUUCACUCUGUUCCUCAAAAGUACAAUUUAUUUUAAUUAAAUUCAGCACAAACACCUCAGUCACUAGCUGGCAUGUUUGAUUGUUUUAAAUUUAUUGCUGCAUGGCUAAAAUGUGGUGCAUUCUGGGGUUUCUCACUGUUGUUGUUAAGUUAAAACCCCUGCUGUAUAUUCUGAUUUAGAAAUAUGUAGGGAAGGUAUGGAUUUUGUAAGAAUAUUAUAUUUAACAUUUCAGUUUUGUAAAAGUAAAUAUCUUUCUAAAGCUGUUUCCGUUUCUGCAGUGCCCUUGAUCUUUAAUAUGUACAGAACUGUAUUUACUGUGUGAGCUUUCAAAAAAAUCUUAAUAUUUAUUAAAUUACUGUUCCGUGGCUUAUAUCAUACUUCAAUAGCACAAAACCAACUAAUUAAAAAAUAUAAGUUUGUCUUUGUUUUAAGUAUGUUUAAAUUUCUUUAUGCCAAAGAGAAUAUCCUAGGAGUUUUAAUGUUGCAUAAAUAAAGCAAUAAACAUCUGAAAAA